AUGAUCCAGAGUACCACGGGACACGUGAAACCCUGUGGGAAGCAGGAGGGACCACCCUCCAAGGCUAAAUACUACCUAGUGACCGAUAGCGUAUAGUACCGUGAGGGAAAGGUGAAAAGAACCCCGGGAGGGGAGUGAAAUAGAACCUGAAACCCUGCACUUACAAGCUGUGGAAGCACAUUUCUUGUGUGACCGCGUACUUUUUGUAGAACGGGCCAACGAGUUACGUUAAGUAGCAAGGUUAAGCACUUAAGGUGUGGAGCCGUAGCGAAAGCGAGUUUUAACUGAGCGUUCAGUUACUUGACGUAGACCCGAAACCGGGCGACCUACCCAUGAGCAGGAUGAAGCGAAAGUAAAAUUUCGUGGAGGUCCGAACCCACGAGCGUUGAAAAGCUCGGGGAUGACUUGUGGGUAGCGGUGAAAUUCCAAUCGAGCCCGGAGAUAGCUGGUUCUCCCCGAAAUAGCUUUAGGGCUAGCCUCAAGGUGAGAGAUACGGAGGUAGAGCACUGAAUGUCCUAGGGGGUAUUGCACCUACCGAAGACUAUCAAACUCCGAAUGCCGUCAUCUUAUACUUGGGAGUCAGACUGUGGGUGAUAAGAUUCAUAGUCGAAAGGGCAACAGCCCAGAUCGUCAGCUAAGGUCCCUAAAUGUAAGUUAAGUGGUAAAGGAUGUGGGAUUGCACAGACAACCAGGAUGUUGGCUUAGAAGCAGCCACUCAUUCAAAGAGUGCGUAAUAGCUCACUGGUCGAGUGAUCCUGCGCCGAAGAUUUCCGGGGCUAAAACUUACUACCGAAGCUACGGCAUCAGUAAUGAUGGGUAGGGGAGCUUCCCAUACGGGUUGAAGCAUGACCGUAAGGACAUGUGGACAGUAUGGGAGUGAGAAUGUUGGCAUGAGUAGCGAGAUGUGGGUGAGAAUCCCACAGGCCGUAAACCCAAGGUUUCCAGGGGAAGGUUCGUCCGCCCUGGGUUAGUCGGGACCUAAGCUGAGGCCGAAAGGCGUAGGUGAUGGACAACAGGUUGAUAUUCCUGUACUACCGAUAACCGUUUGAGAGAAGGGAUGACACAGUAGGAUAAGCUAAGCACACUGUUGGUUAUGUGUGCCCAAGCAUUGAGGCAGUCAAAGUAGGCAAAUCCGCUUUGAUAAUGCUGGGAUGUGAUGGGGAGCGAAAUUUAGUAGCGAAGUAGCUGAUUUCACACUGUCAAGAAAAGUCUCUAUCGAGGUUAAAGGUACCCGUACCGCAAACCGACACAGGUGGGUGAGGAGAGUAUCCUAAGGCCAGCGAGAGAACUGUUGUUAAGGAACUCGGCAAAAUGACCCCGUAACUUAGGGAUAAGGGGUGCCACCAUCAGGUGGCCGCAGAGAAUAGGCCCAAGCGACUGUUUACCAAAAACAUAGGUUUCUGCUAAGUCGCAAGACGAUGUAUAGGAGCUGACGCCUGCCCGGUGCUGGAAGGUUAAGGGGAUCUGUUAGAGCAAUCGAAGCAGUGAACUUAAGCCCCAGUAAACGGCGGCCGUAACUAUAACGGUCCUAAGGUAGCGAAAUUCCUUGUCGGGUAAGUUCCGACCCGCACGAAAGGCGUAACGAUUUGGGCACUGUCUCAACAACAGACUCGGUGAAAUUGUAAUUCCGGUGAAGAUGCCGGAUACCUGCGACAGGACGGAAAGACCCCAUGGAGCUUUACUGUAGCUUGACAUUGGGUCUUGGUACUACAUGUACAGGAUAGGUGGGAGGCUUUGAAACCAGGACGCCAGUUUUGGCGGAGCCAUCCUUGGGAUACCACCCUUGUAGUACUGGGACUCUAACCAUAGGCCAUGAAUCUGGUCUUGGGACACUGUCAGGUGGGCAGUUUGACUGGGGCGGUCGCCUCCCAAAAGGUAACGGAGGCGCUCAAAGGUUCUCUCAGUACGGUCGGAAAUCGUACGUAGAGUGUAAAGGCAAAAGAGAGCUUGAUUGCAAGACAUACAGGUCGAGCAAGGAUGAAAAUCGGACUUAGUGAUCCGGUGGUUCUGCGUGGAAGGGCCAUCGCUCAACGGAUAAAAGCUACCCUGGGGAUAACAGGCUUAUCUCCCCCAAGAGUCCACAUCGACGGGGAGGUUUGGCACCUCGAUGUCGGCUCAUCACAUCCUGGGGCUGUAGUAGGUCCCAAGGGUUGGGCUGUUCGCCCAUUAAAGUGGUACGCGAGCUGGGUUCAGAACGUCGUGAGACAGUUCGGUCCCUAUCCGUCGCAGGCGUAGGAAAUUUGAGAAGACCUGUCCUUAGUACGAGAGGACCGGGAUGGACGUACCUCUGGUGUACCAGUUGUCCUGCCAAGGGCAUGGCUGGGUAGCUAUGUACGGAAUGGAUAAGCGCUGAAAGCAUCUAAGCGCGAAGCCAACUUCAAGAUAAGAUUUCCCACCGCAAGGGUAAGACCCCAGAAAGACUAUCUGGUUGAUAGGUCGAAGGUGUAAGUGCAGCAAUGUAUUUAGCUUAUCGAUACUAAUAGGUCGAGGACUUGACCAA
rnacentral:rRNA from 1 species